rnacentral:rRNA from 1 species
AGUGAACGCUGGCGGUAGGCCUAACACAUGCAAGUCGAACGGCAGCACAGUAAGAGCUUGCUCUUACGGGUGGCGAGUGGCGGACGGGUGAGGAAUACAUCGGAAUCUACUUUUUCGUGGGGGAUAACGUAGGGAAACUUACGCUAAUACCGCAUACGACCUACGGGUGAAAGCAGGGGAUCUUCGGACCUUGCGCGAUUGAAUGAGCCGAUGUCGGAUUAGCUAGUUGGCGGGGUAAAGGCCCACCAAGGCGACGAUCCGUAGCUGGUCUGAGAGGAUGAUCAGCCACACUGGAACUGAGACACGGUCCAGACUCCUACGGGAGGCAGCAGUGGGGAAUAUUGGACAAUGGGCGAAAGCCUGAUCCAGCCAUACCGCGUGGGUGAAGAAGGCCUUCGGGUUGUAAAGCCCUUUUGUUGGGAAAGAAAAGCAGCAGGUUAAGACCCCGCUGUUCUGACGGUACCCAAAGAAUAAGCACCGGCUAACUUCGU